GGGGGCGUAGCUCAAAUGGUAGAGCGCUCGCUUAGUAUGAAAGAAGUACGGGGAUCAGUACCCCGUGCCUCCA
rnacentral:tRNA from 1 species